rnacentral:sRNA from 1 species
GGUCCUUUUGCCAUCCCAGUCUUCCUUGGAGAGAUGGAGAGAAUCAAAUCUCAGUGCAGAAGGAGCUGAGAAUGCCAAGGUCUGGGUCCAGUUUUCCUGUGUUUACUGUCCAGGUACAAGAUGGUGGUGACCCCCCGGAGGGCGGCGGUGGCCAUUGCCGGCUGCUGGAUCCUCUCCUUCGUGGUGGGACUGACCCCUAUGUUUGGCUGGAACAAUCUGAGUGCGGUGGAGCGGGCCUGGGCAGCCAACGGCAGCAUGGGGGAGCCCGUGAUCAAGUGCGAGUUCGAGAAGGUCAUCAGCAUGGAGUACAUGGUCUACUUCAACUUCUUCGUGUGGGUGCUGCCCCCGCUUCUCCUCAUGGUCCUCAUCUACCUGGAGGUCUUCUACCUAAUCCGCAAGCAGCUCAACAAGAAGGUGUCGGCCUCCUCCGGCGACCCGCAGAAGUACUAUGGGAAGGAGCUGAAGAUCGCCAAGUCGCUGGCCCUCAUCCUCUUCCUCUUUGCCCUCAGCUGGCUGCCUUUGCACAUCCUCAACUGCAUCACCCUCUUCUGCCCGUCCUGCCACAAGCCCAGCAUCCUUACCUACAUUGCCAUCUUCCUCACGCACGGCAACUCGGCCAUGAACCCCAUUGUCUACGCCUUCCGCAUCCAGAAGUUCCGUGUCACCUUCCUUAAGAUUUGGAACGACAAUUUCCGCUGCCAACCCGCACCUCCCAUUGGCGAGGAUCUCCCAGAAGAGAGGCCUGAUGACUAGACCCCGCCUUCUGCUCCCACCAGCCCACAUCCAGUGGGGUCUCAGUCCAGUCCUCACCUGCCACUGUCCCAGGGGUCUCCCUGAGCCUGCCCCAGCUGGGCUGUGGGCCGGGGGCAUGGGGGAGGCUCUGAAGAGAUACCCACAGAGUGUGGUCCCUCCACUAGGAGUUAACUACCCUACACCUCUGGGCCCUGCAGGAGGCUUGGGAGGGCAA